rnacentral:rRNA from 1 species
GUAGGGAAUCUUGCGCAAUGGGCGAAAGCCUGACGCAGCCAUGCCGUGUGAAUGAUGAAGGUCUUAGGAUUGUAAAAUUCUUUCACCGGGGACGAUAAUGACGGUACCCGGAGAAGAAGCCCCGGCUAACUUCGUGUCAGCAGCCGCGGUAAUACGAAGGGGGCUAGCGUUGCUCGGAAUUACUGGGCGUAAAGGGAGCGUAGGCGGAUAGUUUAGUCAGAGGUGAAAGCCCAGGGCUCAACCUUGGAAUUGCCUUUGAUACUGGCUGUCUUGAGUUUGGGAGAGGUGAGUGGAACUCCGAGUGUAGAGGUGAAAUUCGUAGAUAUUCGGAAGAACACCAGUGGCGAAGGCGACUCACUGGCCCAAUACUGACGCUGAGGCGCGAAAGCGUGGGGAGCAAACAGGAUUAGAUACCCUAGUAGUCC